rnacentral:rRNA from 1 species
CCUACGGGUGGCAGCAGUCGAGAAUCUUUCACAAUGGGGGCAACCCUGAUGGAGCGACGCCGCGUGGAGGACGAAGGUUUUCGGAUUGUAAACUCCUGUCACUGCAGAACUGGUAUGCGGAGAGGAAGGGACGGCUAACUCUGUGCCAGCAGCCGCGGUAAUACAGAGGUCCCAAGCGUUGUUCGGAUUCACUGGGCGUAAAGGGUGUGUAGGAGGCUGGGUAAGUCUGAUGUGAAAUCUCACCGCUCAACGGUGAAACUGCAUUGGAUACUGCCCGGCUAGAGAGCUUGAGGGGGAAUCGGAAUUCUUGGUGUAGCAGUGAAAUGCGUAGAUAUCAGGAGGAACACCAGUGGCGAAGGCGGAUUCCUGGAACGUCUGACUCUGAAACACGAAAGCUAGGGGAGCAAACGGGAUUAGAUACCCUGGUAGUC